AAAGGGAGACCUAAUUCCGGUAGGAGACGAAAAAAAAGUAGUCCCAACCAAGAAUCAAUCCCAAAAGGUCGGAGCGAGGCGAAAUUGGCUUUCAAACUAGGUUCUGGGUUCACACAAGACCUGAAUCAGGAACAAGGGCUAUUAGCUCAGGUGGUUAGAGCGCACCCCUGAUAAGGGUGAGGUCCCUGGUUCGAGUCCAGGAUGGCCACCUGCACAGGUGGCAAAAACAAAGAAAAAAAGCUCCGAAUCAGCACCUUAUCUUACUUAUACAGUAAGAGAGAAUGCUGGCUCUGAGUUCAGAGUCCAGAGGAACCUUGAAAACUGCAUAGAGCUAGGUGAGAAAGCCAAAAAAGAAGACCGCAAG
rnacentral:misc_RNA from 1 species